UAUGUAUAUAUAUAUAUGAUCUACAAAUGAAUACACAUAUAUUGUAUAUAAUUAUAUAAUAUAAAUAUAUAUAACAUGUAUUCAUAAUUAAUAUAAAAAUAUUCAAAUUUAUAAUGUAGGCUUAGGUUGUCUUGUAUAUGUAAUGUAAAUGUUUAAGCGGGGUUAUGUUAACCCCCCGUUAUCUUUUACGCUCUAAGUGUACAUGCAAUCACUUAUACAUACAUAGGCAUAUGUGUAUGUAAAGGAGACCAAAAUUUUCGGGACGGAAUUAAGCCCAACCAAAAAAUAUGUUGGUGUCCAGACCGUUGUGAGUUUUGUUUUAGAGUAAAUUGGUUCACAAUGUGUUAAAACCGAUCAGUCGCCCUUGUGUAAGUCUUUUACUUUAAGUUUAAAUGGAUUCUAAGGACAGUGAGAUUUCUGGGACAUUUCUAGUGGUUGCUGAAAUAGUGUCAGUUACAGUUACAGGUUAGACCUGUUAUUUUGUUUACCUAGGUACACAAUAUGUAUGUAUAUGUACAUAUAUGGCCAUAUAUACAGCUGCGAAAAAUUAAUUAGCACUUGCCCAAUCAAGUUUUGAAUAAUUCCCAAUUUUAGGGUUUUAAAAGAGCUAAAAUACCCUUUUAGAAAGGUUAAAUCAUGCACUUAUUAGAAAAUAAAAAAAAAAUUACAAUUAAGUUCUUAACUUAAUUAUUAACUUAAAUUUUUUAUUUUAAACAACUGUUCAACGUUUUGGCACGGAUUCAUCCAGGUCCUGGCACGGUUUUAGGGAUAUUUUGGUCCCGGACUUCUUAAAUACUGUCCAAAGUUAUUCAUUGUUUGUUGGUCGAGAAGCUACAACUGCCUUUUUAAUAUUCGUAGGAACAUACAUAUUUAUUUUGGAACUUAUCCUUGGCUGGUGUGCUUGGGGUCACCCACUUUAGGGGCAUAUCGCAUUCGGCAAAGAGUAGAGUAUCAAAUGUAUUUGCCCUACGCAAUAGUACGAGAAACGAGCCCAUACCAUUACACUGGGUCCUCCGGGUUUAAGUGUUUCCGACCAUAUAAAGUAUAUAUAUUCUUGUUCAGGAUCAAUGGCAGAGUCGAUCUGGCCAUGUCCGUCAUAGUUUUGUCAAUCUUGUAAACAAAACACUUUUUGCGACGUCCACUUUAAUGCCCUAAAACCGCCGAAAACUGUCACGCCCACAUUAUUGAAAAAUUGUUUGAUAUUUUUUCAUAAUUUUAUUAGUCACAAUUCUUUAUUGAACAAUUCUUACAUUUUUUCUCAUUCUAUUCCCCAAUAUCUAUAGAUAUCCCAGAAAAAUUAUGAAAUUUCGCGUUUGCAUUCACACUAACUGAACAAAUGGUAUCUGUUAGUCGGGGAACUCGACUUAGCAUUUUCUCUUGUUUGCCUUAUAUUCGGUGUUUUUAGGGAGCCGUACGUACGAUCAAGAUCCAUUGCCCACAAAAAUAACAAGCUUAAUCACAUCUGACCAUAAAAUGUUCCUCAGUUUUUCGCAUGGCACAUUGAAAUGUUCAUUUGGAAACGUAAUACGCUUUCUUUCCUUGGACUUCAGGCUUUUAAACCAUGUUCCGUACAUUUUUAUGGUAUUAAGGGGACAAAUCGAUUUUUUAUUAGUUUUCACAGUCACAAACACAUAAAACAGACCACACUGAAUAAAACUCAUUUUGCAGAAUGAAAAAAAAAGAAAACGAUGUGGUUCAAACAAAGACACUAGAACAACUAGUUAACUAUAACUUGUAACUAGUUAUUCUAGUGUCUUCGGUUCAACAGAUAUAUAAAUAUUUGUAUCAAGGGAAAAACUUAUUAGUGCAGACAAAUUUUUUUUGUGCGUGCAACAGUUGAUUUCUUUGUUUAUUUGUUUCUGGUAUGCAGAAAUAACAAUUGGUCAAUAAUAAAUGCAAUUUAAAAUUGUUACUCUUAAAUUAUUUAAAAAAUAAUUUUUAUUUUGUUAUAAUUUAAUAUUUUAUUGGUGAUCAUUUUCACUUAUAGUAUUACAAGAUACACUUCUUAUGAACACGAUCUUGUCCCGAUUCAGACUGAUCUUCUAAAUCUUAAUCCUGAUCCAAUCAACCUCGGCCUCGGUUUUCUUUAGAAUUUAGAAGAAUUCUUGAACUUUCAAAUAUGUUUAGGAUAAAUAAUAUGUUUAUACUGAAAUUAUUUCACAGCAUUGUGAAAUUGAAAUUUGCUGACUGUUUUUUUUUCGACAAAAACGGACAAAAGAAAUGCUGCUGAAAUUUAUCAACUGGGGCAAAAUGCUAUAUUUACGGGUUGGAUAAUUGAGAUGCUGCUGAGAUUGGAGUUUAAAAUUUGUUCUUCUAAAAUGAAGCGCCCGCUUCAUUAUGUAUUUCGGUUAAAUGCUCUCUUAAUUCUGUUAAAAAUUCAUUCUCAGUAUUUGGUGUUUCUAGUUCUGGCCGUUUUUGUUUGGUUACAAAUAUAAUAUAUCUGACUUUUAUUAUUAAUGUAGUAAUCAAAUACAAAAUGAUUAAAAUUAAUAAUAUAAAUGAAAUUCCAAUUCCAAUAUUUUCCAAUUGUAAAUUUCAAUAAAUGGGUUUAAAAUAUUAAUGUUGUCAAGAGUAAGUUCUGAAUCGUUGGAUCUUAUAUAAUCUGAUAUUUCCAGAUUCUUAAAGUGGUUAGUGGUUAUGUACUCAAGUAUUUUGUUUUCUAAAUUUGGUGUAUGAAAUAUUAUUUAUUGUAGUUGUGCCGUUAAAUGUUAUUAAAUAUUACCCGUCUAAAUGAGAAUUAUUUACAAUAUUAUUUCCAUUAAUUAGAAUGGCACCUUCUUGAAUGAUAACUAUAUUCUUAAUUUGUACUCGUAUUUAUUUAGUAAGCAGGUAAAACAAGUUUUAGCUCUACUUAAAAUGCCAUAGUUAUUAAAAAGUACGUUCUUAAAAUUAGAUAUUUCAUAAAAAUAAUUUUCGCAUUCUGCGACCUGAUUGUUUAUUAGUAAUUUUCCAUCAUUAUGUGAAAUGGAUCUGGCAUAAUACAUUUCGCACCAAUUAAGUAUUUCAGGGUAUUUGAUAUAAAUAAUUAUGAGUUCGUGAUGUAGUACAAUGUUGAGAUAUCCAUUAGAUCUGCAAUAAUUACAGGCUUUUGUUGGUGAUUUAAUAUUUCUUUAAUGUCUUCAUUUUUUAACAUUUUUGUGUUAAGUACAUCGUUUUUUGCCAGUGUAAUAGUAUCAAUAAUGUUUUGCAUGUCGAAUGUUAGCAAUCGUAAUCGAUGUUUUCUUAAAGUGAUUGGAAAGUGAUUUUAUCUCAUUAAACAAUUGUGAAUUAAUAAUAAAUUGUUGGUUAUUGUUUUCAAUUAUUUUAUUCUGUACUGUAAUGAAAACAUCGUGAUUCGGAGUUCCAGCUAAACAUUUCCAAACAGUGCCUAACUCAUUUAGUUGAUAUCAGCUGUGACAAAAUUAAUUCGAUUAAUUGCAGUUCGUAAGUUAUUACCCACUGUGACCUUUUUUAUAAGUAAGAAGUAAGAACAUCCUUCUUGUCUUUGAACAGGAAAAAUUCGUGAUUGGAGUAACCAAUUAUUUCUAAAGUGGUUAUCAUUAUGAAUGGUGUUAAAAGUAAUAACAAAUGCAUUUUCUGUAAUUUUAAACGAAAUAUAAUGUUUGGAAAAACUUUAUAUUCUCUUUGUGAAUAAUUCUGUUUCUACCAUUAAUUAGUAUUUUGCUUGCUAACACAAACAAACUGGAUGGUUUUCCCUCUCGAGAGCAUGACAAAUAAAUUAUUCGGUGGCAUGCCUGGCAGAUCCAAUUUAAAUUGUCAACUUCUACAUUUUUGCCGCUUUUUUGGCUGUAAUUUUUCAACAUUACGCCACAAUGGAGAUGAUUUUAAGCAAGCGAUAAUCUCAUCAGCGUAUGUUGAACAUGGAAUGACUGGAAGUGUUUGUCUGAAAUCACCUGAAAGGACCAACAGAGUUCCGCCAAAUGCACAGUGGCCAUUGACGAUUGUUUCUUAAUGAUGCAUACUGCGUCAUGGUUAUUCUGACUAUUUAGUGGCAGCUUAAAUACUGAAUGAGCUGUUCUACCUCCAUCCAAUCAAGUUGCUGCAAUGCCCGAUGAUGCCAAUGCGACGCCAUCAUUUGAUCGUAUUUCAGCAAGAAUUAGCGAAAUAACGAAAGUUUUGCCAGAUCCACCCGGUGCCGAUUUUGAAUGUAGAAUUGAAUUGCUGAUCAUCAGCUGCCCACCCUGGCGACGCCCUUGCAUCAGUAUUUUGUUGCUGGAUUUGUUCUUCUGUUCUUUCGGGUCUGAUAUUUCGCAAGUUUCGAGCUUUGCGUUUUCUCGGCAUUGCUCACUGUACAAGACAUAUGUACAUAAAUAUAAUAAAUGAAAUUAUUUAAUGAUGAAAUAGGGGCCAGGAUUUUUGCCGCAGUUUUGAAAUAAUUUGUUUUCAUUUGUUUAUAUAUAAUUCAUAUCAAAUAUAUAGGUUUUAUUUGAAUUAUAUUACACUUGAUGCUUAAACAGUAAUGGUGGCCGACAAUUGUGUAGGGAGUGAGCAAGAAAGGAGACCGGCUUUGUUCUCAUCCCUACUCCGCCAGGAUUUUUGCCGCAGUUUUGAAAUAAUUUGUUUUCAUUUGUUUAUAUAUUUCAUAUCAAAUAUAUAGGUUUUAUUUGAAUUAUAUUACACUUGAUGCUUAAACAGUAAUGGUGGCCGACAAUUGUGUAGGGAGUGAGCAAGAAAGGAGACCGGCUUUGUUCUCAUCCCUACUCCGUGCUGUUUACUGGGUCAGACACCUGUAGACAUCUGGCGGAGAUAACUAAUUAAAUGACGAUUGAUCAGUUUUUGACCGGAAAGAAAAAUUGAUUAAUUUACUAAAAUGGCUAUUAAAAAAUAAGGGUCAAUCGUAGAAGGGUACAAAUUGCGGAUUUUAUAUAUUGGUCUAUGUUAUAUCAUUAAAAGAUAGAAAUUAAAAAAAAAACUGUAACACGAGGUUUUUAUAUAUUUAGAUGAUACUGAAUGAAAUACGAAAAAUUCAGAUUACUAUUUCUUCACAUACAUUCAAAAAAGAACAACAAAAAUGAAUUAAAUUUUACAUAAAUUAGGAACGCCAAAAAUA